rnacentral:rRNA from 1 species
GACGAACGCUGGCGGCGUGCUUAACACAUGCAAGUCGAACGGAAAGGCCCUGCUUUUGUGGGGUGCUCGAGUGGCGAACGGGUGAGUAACACGUGAGUAACCUGCCCUUGACUUUGGGAUAACUUCAGGAAACUGGGGCUAAUACCGGAUAGGAGCUCCUGCUGCAUGGUGGGGGUUGGAAAGUUUCGGCGGUUGGGGCUGGACUCGCGGCUUAUCAGCUUGUUGGUGGGGUAGUGGCUUACCAAGGCUUUGACGGGUAGCCGGCCUGAGAGGGUGACCGGCCACAUUGGGACUGAGAUACGGCCCAGACUCCUACGGGAGGCAGCAGUGGGGAAUAUUGCACAAUGGGCGGAAGCCUGAUGCAGCAACGCCGCGUGCGGGAUGACGGCCUUCGGGUUGUAAACCGCUUUCGCCUGUGACGCAGCGUGAGUGACGGUAAUGGGUAAAGAAGCACCGGCUAACUACGUG